GCUGACGCAGGUAUUCCUACUUAUAUGCUUCUCCAUUGCAUCUAAUAUUUGAAUGGCAUGCUCUAUGGUAAUAUAACAGUUUGACCAUUGUUCUGCAUUGAGAGGUCCUAUUUAAAUUUUCAGAUUACCAGUUCUAUCAAUUGGUUAUAUCAUCUAAGUAGCACGGGUACUGUACUUGAGAUACCAAUCUGAGACUAUAAUUCUUAUUUCUUUCCCAAUUAUAAAUGAAUGCAAAUUUAGUUGUUUUAAUUUGUUAAGACAUACAACACAUGCUAUAUGACUGGGUAAAAAUUUACUGGCAUGCCUUUUUCUUUUAGACAAAAACACAUACUAGAAUGUGCUUCUGGUAUGCUUUUUGGAGUGUGCAAAAUACAUUUCUUUAUGUCAUUGCCAGGGAUGAAUUUUGCAUUACUUGGAUGGUGUAGGAUUUAGGAUUUAUUGUCAAUUCUAAGGUAAUAUGAUUAGCAGUGGGCCCUAAACCCUCCAUCCUCCAGAUGGCACUAAACUAAGUGUGUGAUGCUCAAUCUAAGACAUGUCAAAUGCUCUUUGCUUAGGCAAAUUCUUCGAACUUUUUUCUGACUAGAUGCUAUAAUCUUCUGUUGUGAUGUUUUCAUUCUUUUUAAAUGUCUCGUUCUACUGACAGCAUAUCUUGGCUUAUGGAGAAUGGAUCACAAUAUGUUUCCACAUAUUAGAUGCUUUGCAUGAGUUGAAAACCAACAACCAGCUACUGAAAUUGUGUCCAUCUGAAUAAAUUUAUUUCAAGUUGCAGGCUGCACUUUCCUUUUGGUGGACAAAUUGGAGAUAUAAUCUUCAGAGAUGAAAAGUAGAUCAAGGCAUCAAGACCUUGAAGAAAGGAAAAAUAGGAAAAGAAAAAAAAGGGGGGGCGAAGGAGGCUCUGGAAGCAUACUUGGUGGCUCCGUUCAAGGAAACAAAACUGUGUCAUCCACACCAACUGCCCAAGGGCAUUCAGCUGUCUAGGUGGAUCAACGUGAGAGGGCUUAGGUUCUCUGCUAUCCUAUCCUAGGAUAUUAUAUGAUCCAAAUGAUGCUAUGAAAUUAAACUGUGUACAUGAUGUACUCUCGGUUCAAAUCUGUAUUCUCUGGACUGUUUCAACUUUCACGUCCAUGGAUUCAGUAAUAUGGCAUGAUUUGCUCUUGUACCGUACCCAAAACAAAUCCACUUUGUCAAUACCCUUUCAGAAGUUAUAGAUUUUCCUUUUCAUUGCCUAGGAUUGUUUUUUGUAACAAAUUAUCUGCUCUUGUAUACCCAUAUAAAAUGUACCAGUUCCAAGAAUACCCA